rnacentral:lncRNA from 1 species
UAAGCAUUUUUGUAAAUCAUAUUUUGAUACUUCACCGAAGUAUCUAUAAAGGUAUGGAUAUCAAGGAAAGCAAUGCAUCAAAGGGUUUCAAGCAAUUCCUAUGAACCUAAUGCACAUUUCACUAGACUUAAGUGUGCGAAAAGUAUUUAAAAACACAAGGAAAGGGGUUGCAUGCACCGGGGCUUGCCUGAGUAACACUAGGUUAGUGUUGUUAGGUGACGUCCGCUUGACGAGUAUCCUUCGACCGAGCACUUGCUUGAUUUAACCGUCUUCAGGUUGAUUCAUCAGCUUCAGCUUGUAGAUUAGCCCACGCUUGGGGUCGGCUUGGUUCUUCUUCCGCAUCACGCGAUUAUUUAUCGUACCUCAUGAGAUGCAUGAUGCACAUGUAUGAGCAUAUGUAUAACGAGUAUAAUAUAGAUAAUCUACGCUAAAAAGCAUGAAACACUUAAAACCAAGCAUUAAGCACCAUGGAUAUCACAGCAGGACAUCGACUAUAUCCAUUAAUCAAAUUGACAUAUUACACUAGAAAAUCUAUUUUUAUUCUUAGCUUUUUAUUAACUCUCUAAACUGUGUAACUUAAUUAGUUGAUUUAGCGAGCUAUCUAAAUCAAUCAUCACAAUAUACGCAUGCUAAAUUAAUAAUAUUUAUUGUGACCAACAAUUCUAUUUAAUCUAUUUAUAGACCUAGUUAAUGGGAAUACGAACCAACUUACCCUGACUAAUUCGACGCGAUAGUCGCAAGCACGACUACGGGUUCCGGUUGAUGUCAUCCAGGAGCCUUCUUUUCUUCGGUAAUUAAUUGCUGAAGAUCUUUUCUUCGAUUGAAUAAUUUCGACGAAUUGAACUUGAGUCGCGCAGGAUGUCCGAGCUUUUUGGUCGCGCACUUGGUGAAUAUCACGCUGCUGGCUUCGUCUUCACUCGAUUCUUGGAAUUUUUGAUGACGCACGGAACGACGACGACACAGGAGGGUGACGUAUAUAGAGCUACACACGCGACACGAUGACGAACGAUGCUGACCAGCGGAAUCGAUGACGCGAUGAGAAUUAAGGCCAAGCGAGCCGAGAGGACGCACCGGCGAGCAGGAAAAAGACUCGACGCGGGAGUUUGACACGCACGCGAAGCCUAUCACCCGCGACAACACUAUGAUGGCGAUAUGAGCGAACGCGAAUCGGCGCGGGCCAAACACCGUAUAACCAUGGCAGCGACUUGGGCGAGAUCCAAACUAGAGCAGCAGCACACCGACAAGCAGGGACGACUGGCAAACUCCGGUUUAGGUGAAUGGAACGCGACACAGGGAGCUGGUGCGCACGUAGGGACUCGACGACGGACAGCGGUCAUGGAUGACGUGUCGCGCGGACGACCGAGCAGGACACGAACUGGACAGAACCGAGCGCGCAGGCUCCACGGCGAACCGAGAAACCGGCUACGCGCAGGGGCAGAGGACCGCGCAUGCAAGGCGAGCAGCAAGGCGACGGCGCGCAGGAACGGGAAGCCUCGACAGGGCGCUGUACGGAGGAGUUCGGCUGGGACUCGGCAGGGAGGAGACCUCGGCUGGGGGCUUGGCGCGCGGCGAAGCAGACAGCAGAGGGAGCUCGCGGCCAUGGAGGAAUAGGGGUGCGACGGCAAGGAGCUGGGGUCAAGCAGAGAGAAAACGAGAGAAAGGAAAAGGAGCAGGACGCCAUGGAUGGAGUCUGCAGGGGAUUCUGCCGGGCUGGGCGACAGCGCAGUGGAGCAGAGAGUGCGCGCAGGCAACCAGAAGCCGGGCGAGUGGGAGGGAGAAGACCCCGGACGCUGAGCAUGGAGGGUGACCGACGCUGGAGAUCCGGCCGGCGAGCAAAGGGGCGAGCAGGGCGGGUGCCAUGGGAGCACCGCGCGCAGACCAAGGAAAAACAGGGGACACGCCAUAGCUGAGAGAUGAGCUCGGCUGGGAGCUACGCACGGUCGGGAGGAGGAAGAAGCAGAGCGCGCGCCGGAGGAGCAGAGGAGAUGGACGCGCGCGCAGGAGCUGGAGCAGAAGCACCGCGCAAGGAAGAAGCUUGGCUGCCGGUAAAAAUAAAGAGCUUCAACGUGCGAGAGAAAUAUCAGAGAAAGGGAUAGCGACGAGAGACGAUGGAGAUGAGCAGGAAGGGCGGCAGGAUUUUUCUGGCGGCUAAAAGAUUUCUUCUCAGGCACAGGCGACACAAGGAUAACGAUGGCGUUUUUUUUUCCAAGUACCGAGCGCGCGUGUGGGAAGAUGAGGCCAAGAAAGAUAUUUCUUUUUUCUAAAUAAUUAAAUGCAAAUAUCUAAUGUCUAGGAUUUGCGAGAGUUUAAAUGACUUGGUUCCAAUCAUAUUUCAGACUACGCAUUUUAUUUUCUGUAUUACGAAAUAGGACACCGAAUCUGCUAACAAUUGCUCUGGUUUUGGUUAGUUCAGAUUCAUUUUGUUUAAACAGCCUGCUUUAGUAAUGUCUAAUGAAUUCGUAGAGACCGCUCGAACAAGAGCAAAGUAAUUAGGCGACGUUUCCAAUUUCCUUAAUCGAUUGAUUGUAGACUGGCACUAGACUUGACACUUUAUAAAAUAAAUUUUUAAUGUGGUAAACUCUCAGAGUCAUAUGAACCUCAAUCAGUUAUUUAUAUCAGAAAGUGUUGAUCUGAGCGAGAAGCAAUAGGUCGAAUUAAACUGAUUCUCGCUACGAUAGUUUGCUCUGCCUGAUUUGACUGAAGUUAGUCGAAAACAAUCCGCUAAUGUACACGCGAUUUCGUCAUCAGAACAUCGUGCAGACGGAUAAAUUGGAUCCUAACCUCGCGCACGAUUUCUCUCAGACAUCGCGCGACACAAAUUAUUUUGCCCCGACAUUUUAGUUGUCGAGUUCAAAUUAAUUUGCCCGGGAUAAAAAUCACCCAGUGGUUCGAGCUUCCGAAUUCAUAUUCGCGCGAGCGAUGAAUUUUUAAUAAUCACCGGACGCAUCGAUUUUCAGAACGACGAUGUUCCGAUCAUCACGAAAAUUUAGGAAGAGCCCGGAUAGAUACAACCGAUGUCGAACUCACGACAAACGGAUCAGAUGCGAUAUUAAAAUUGCGAUGGCCGAAGAUGUUUAAAAUUUAACAUCCGUUUUAUCCACUGAUUACGUGCUUAAAUCCGUACUCAUCGUCGAGCGGAAUAUAAACACCUGGGGUGUUACAGCCCUCUCCCCUUAAAAGAAUCUCGUCCCGAGAUUCAGAAUGAAAGACUUCUAAGAGUAGAGAAGCAUGUAACCCACAUCCAUAUCAGCGGUAACUAAGGCAGUUUCAAGCAAAGGCGAGUGUCUCAGAAUGUGGUUUCUCUAGCGGACAUAACAUAUAUCGCCUUAGGCUAAUUUAGAGAUGUCCACCAAUAGAGACGCUGUCUGCCAGAAGAACACAUAAGGUUCCAUGUGUGCAGUUUGCUUUUUCUGAUGACACUGUACUAUCUGAGUCUGUUGAGUGAGCAACUAAUACGCGAUUUUACCCAAACAGAAUCAGAUGCAACCUCUUGGGUAAAACACACAGAAAGAGGUUUACCAAUAAGUGGUCGCGAUAGGUUCAUAGCACACGAGACGAGUGUGGAUGUUGAAUACUGUCGCGGUUAACAUGUGGUUAACCCGAGAAUUCAAGUCCACGAAAGAUGGUAUAGAUUCGAGAGAAUCACCAGCGGAGGGGUCUGUAGAUACGAACUUUACGACCAGUCCAUUUUAUCCAGCACUAAUCAUGGCUCGACAUGGUCACACAUGCUGGAAAAGCACACGUGAGGCGAUCGAGACACGACUAGAGCGAUGGCUAGGUGGUUACUGGCCAACUUAAUCUCGAUUCAUAUAAGUGCUUUCUUCAGGGUGUUUUUAACCAGAGUGAGUUUAGACAACUCGACAAAACGAUCUCUAAACUCAACCUUUGAUCACAAGGCAGUUACAACUUAGUAAAACCAACUUGUUGAACUACUUUCGACAUUGAGCAAGUCCUCUCAGUACCAUCGGUAAGCCAACGGUCGAGAGCUCACAUUUGCUAGCAAAAGGUCAUGCAUUUGGGUAGAAAUCCAUUUGGUCAUGUUGUUCAUCCGUUUCUUCAUGCGAGAUGAAUUAUCCACUUGGUUAGGGAAUACAUGGAUUAAAUAAGGGAGCGAAUGAACAAAUUCCUGCAUCUCAGCAGCAGGAGAAACACAUCUCCAUUUUGAGAGCUAAUCAGUUGUUUUCCAAUAUUAAAAAGCUCCAAGGAUUCACCUUUCACAAAGGAUGUAAAGGGAACUUGUAUGUGUGAAGUCACCAUCAAAGUCAAGGAAAAGAAACCAUACAAGAAAAUGGUAUGCCCUUUUUAUCCAAUGGAGAUGAUAAAUGUUGUUUGAUCACUUGACAAACAACCUAGAAAUUGUUUCAAAGAAGGAGUCCACGGAAGAUCACACAUCGGUGUAGUUCCACAAUGGAUCAUGACUAGAGACUUCGAUACCAGCAUGCGCCAAGCAGCAGAAUCCUGUGUGCACAUUCACAGGAGGCUCUUAGUUUCGCCGUGGCACCAUAAGUCAUUAAUCGAGACGCCAUUAUCGAACUGGCACCAAUAAUGAAUCUCACGUGGUAAGAAUAAUUUGCGCAAAGAUAACAUAUCAAUAUAGUCUAAUAAUGGAUUAUGACUACUAACGGUGAUACCAGCGGAUGCCAAGUAGCGCAACCAUGUGUGUGCAUCCACAGGAGGCCCUCGGUUUCAUCGCAGUGCCAUCGGUUUUAGUCAUAACACCAUUGCCAGACGUCACCAAUAAGAAAUCUCGCGUGACACCAUUGGAUUGAACAAAGGUGACAAUAUAUAAAGAAAUACUCCACCUAUAAAAAUGGUUACAAGUAGAGACCAAAUAGAUCAUGGCCCGAUGAAACGAACAAAGUAUGGCCAUAACCUAAACUUGUUAAUGAAGGGAGUACGAUGGGAGACUGUUAAUUUAGCCACAAGCAUAUUUCUAUGCCCAUCAGAUGGAUUACAAGUCAAGGAUUAGUAUCUGACUAGAUACGCAGGGAAAACAAUCACAAGGUUAAGUGGGUAUGCCUUCGAGAAAGAUGGGGAACUAAAGGCAUCAAACGAAGGAAAAUGAUUAGGUAUGACUUUCCUAAGUUAGGUUGAUAAGGCGACAAGAUGAUCAACAAGGAGAGGCCGAAUACAAUAGGGACCUCAACCUGCAUCAACUGAACAAGGGAAUGGUUCUAAAAGGAGACAUGACUUGAGAUUCUUGUUGUAAGCCUAUGUACAAUUUAUGUCCAACAAGUAAUUUGUCUAAGCAUUUAUUUUUAUGUGUUUGGUCAUGGAGUGAUAACGGAGAAUUCAAAUUUUGGGUCAUGGUUCACCAACUAAUAACAUGGCCUAAUUUCCGGUUUAGGCAAACAAGUCACUAACCUUCUAUCGACACAUCAAGCACAAGGGCAAACACAUUUGCACUAAUGGUCAAAUUAUGAAAAGCUAAAGGCAAUCUAAACCUGUAUCCCUAAGACACCACAUCAUUCACAAUCACCAAGUUUUGGAAUAAAGGUGAGAGAAGCAUUUUGGGUGUAUAGGUAACAAACAUAAUGCAACAAUCAGGAUGCAUGCUCGUCCUACACGUCCUCACGAGUUUUGCCAACAUAAUGUGGCGAUAGCGUUCUAUAUCGGUGGCAUACUUACGAAUCUCACGGUAAUUUGCUAGUCGUCAGCUACACAUACGUUUUCGAGGUUAGUGUACCUGCAGAAAAUUCCAUUACAACCCAAUUUCCCAUAAUGCAAUUCAUACAUGACAGUUUAUCACAGGUUAUACUCCAUAUAUCGCUAUAUGGAGGCCAGCUCAUCAUUAAGCGCUGAGCCAUGCAUAGGCGCCGUUGCCACACUUUAACAAUAGGGCAACUCAUUAUGGUAACUCACCUUCUUACCUGAACGUAGGUGCGUUGUUACAAGUACAUUACACUUCUCAGUAUUCCCAUGUCUGUAUACCCUUACACAUCCAUGGGGUACUGAAUUCCCGAAAAAGUAAGUACUCCACAUCGCAGCCUUCAUAUAUACAUAUGUAGAACAUGUAUAUAAUCAGGCGCUACAAUUAAGCACUUCCCUAGACCGACGGUUGUUCGGUCAUGCUCUCACAACUCACCUUACCUUGGGCGUCGAUCCAUUCCAAACGGAAUGGUUUUCAAAAAUAACAAUACACAUGUAUGCAAUACCCACCCGGUUGUGGGUUAGUGGUUUUCAACUAAGCCACCUAAUAGUCCUUAGUUUAGGGCUUAACAGAGGAUGUCGCUAGCAUUAUAGUUUUUUUUUCAAAACUAUUUUUCAAAGCCAAACAAUAUGUUUAGUUGAAAAUAGGUUUUUCGAAACCAAAACUUUUGUUUUGAAAAUAUGUAUGUGACUGUAUAUACUUAAUCCAGCUCCGAUACCAGCUGUGGCAGAACCUCCCAAGUUAUCGGGCCCACAUGCACCUGUCCUUGUCUCAAAGACCUCAGACAGCUAUGCAUGUGCACCAGAUAACUUAACAGGAUCCGUCCGAUUGCCCAAGGACAUCGGAUAAACCACUUACAACCAGAACCGCGGGAUUAAGUAACACAAAUCACACACACAACAUUUUUGCAGCGGAAAUCUUAUUACCAAAUUUUACAGGUUAUAAAAAAAAUAUUUACAUUAUUUUAUCAGAGUGAUUACAAAAGUAUAAGUUUGAAAUAUAUGCUAGCUCAAGUGACCAUCCUUAAUAAGAAGUAUAGAAGGGUUACUUAGACUUAUAAGAAGGCCGAGCCCACCGGCACUUAACACCAUCAACAACAGCACAAAGUUAAAACCUGAAAAACAACAGGGAAUAAAACCCUGAGUAUGGAAUUACUCAGCAAGUCUUACCCGACUAAGGAAAAGACUCUCAAGGGUAUGCUGGAUAAAUAGGAGCCAAGGAGAGGCUUUAGCAAAAAUCAACUUAUACUUUUGCAGAAGUAGCUUACUAAAGUGAGCCCUUACUUUCAAUCUUUUAACGCCAUAUUAAGUAUUAAUAAACUCUAUUUGCAUCUAGUCUAUUUUCAAUCAUCUCAUCAAUACAACAUCAUUUUUAUCCAUAAUGUUCACAUCCUGACUUUAGGUUGCAGGGCAGUGACCAAGUCUUCAUAACCGCGAAGGUACGGCGAUCCGAAUCGAUUAUACUCAGCUGAGGAUCUCCAAUCACACGACAUAUGUAGCACUUAACCCUUGCAUAUGUCAACCCGCCACCGGGGUUCUUAAGACCGGAUCAGGUUCACGCAAACCGAGAGCACAGAUACACCACCGUCCAGCCUCUUGCCACGGAGGGUACACGCUACUCUCGCCACCGCUCCACGUCCAUUUCGUGUUAUCUUAUUCCGGCCUUAGUCUGCCCGAGGCAAGGCUUACCCAUGACGAGGCAUGUGACCAGUUAAAGGGUCCUCGAUCAUCAAGCCUACACACGCGUUAAUCCUUAAUCAACCUGGGUAGAACAUCACCUGUUCCUAACCCAAGUCUCGAUUUACAUACUUCCAUCCUUAGGAUUGUUUCUGUUCCCAAGGAUGAAAAGAGCAUCACAGGGAGCUUUGCAGUAAGAUCCCACCAUUGCUCCAAAUGAAAAUAUUCUUGCAGGUAGAAGCCAUCCUUUCUCGAGUUAAAUUAAGGAUAACCUCUAUCUACAAGAUCUAAGCAAGGCUAAGCAUUUUUGUAAAUCAUAUUUUGAUACUUCACCGAAGUAUCUAUAAAGGUAUGGAUAUCAAGGAAAGCAAUGCAUCAAAGGGUUUCAAGCAAUUCCUAUGAACCUAAUGCACAUUUCACUAGACUUAAGUGUGCGAAAAGUAUUUAAAAACACAAGGAAAGGGGUUGCAUGCACCGGGGCUUGCCUGAGUAACACUAGGUUAGUGUUGUUAGGUGACGUCCGCUUGACGAGUAUCCUUCGACCGAGCACUUGCUUGAUUUAACCGUCUUCAGGUUGAUUCAUCAGCUUCAGCUUGUAGAUUAGCCCACGCUUGGGGUCGGCUUGGUUCUUCUUCCGCAUCACGCGAUUAUUUAUCGUACCUCAUGAGAUGCAUGAUGCACAUGUAUGAGCACAUGUAUAACGAGUAUAAUAUAGAUAAUCUACGCUAAAAAGCAUGAAACACUUAAAACCAAGCAUUAAGCACCAUGGAUAUCACAGCAGGACAUCGACUAUAUCCAUUAAUCAAAUUGACAUAUUACACUAGAAAAUCUAUUUUUAUUCUUAGCUUUUUAUUAACUCUCUAAACUGUGUAACUUAAUUAGUUGAUUUAGCGAGCUAUCUAAAUCAAUCAUCACAAUAUACGCAUGCUAAAUUAAUAAUAUUUAUUGUGACCAACAAUUCUAUUUAAUCUAUUUAUAGACCUAGUUAAUGGGAAUACGAACCAACUUACCCUGACUAAUUCGACGCGAUAGUCGCAAGCACGACUACGGGUUCCGGUUGAUGUCAUCCAGGAGCCUUCUUUUCUUCGGUAAUUAAUUGCUGAAGAUCUUUUCUUCGAUUGAAUAAUUUCGACGAAUUGAACUUGAGUCGCGCAGGAUGUCCGAGCUUUUUGGUCGCGCACUUGGUGAAUAUCACGCUGCUGGCUUCGUCUUCAC